rnacentral:rRNA from 1 species
AGAGUUUGAUCCUGGCUCAGGAUGAACGCUAGCGGCAGGCUUAACACAUGCAAGUCGAGGGGCAGCAAGGGUAGCAAUACCUGUUGGCGACCGGCAAACGGGUGCGGAACACGUACGCAAUCUACCUCUAUCUGGGGCAUAGCCCGGAGAAAUCCGGAUUAACUCCCCAUAGUAUUAUUGAGAGGCAUCUUUUGGUAAUU